CCGCCGGCGACCGGCGCACGGGUGAGUAACGCGUAUGCAACCUGCCCGUUUCAGCGGGAUAACCCGGAGAAAUCCGGCCUAAUACCGCAUGUGGCCGAGGGGAGGCAUCUUCUUUCGGCCAAAGGAGGCGACUCCGGAGACGGAUGGGCAUGCGUGACAUUAGCUAGUUGGCGGGGUAACGGCCCACCAAGGCGACGACGUCUAGGGGUUCUGAGAGGAAGGUCCCCCACACUGGUACUGAGACACGGACCAGACUCCUACGGAAGGCAGCAG
rnacentral:rRNA from 1 species